UCGGUCUCUAACCGAACGUGUUUGGUUCAUGUUUGUUCAUGUUUUUUUCCACUUGAUUUCAUUUUAAUAAAUUUCUUUCUGUCUUGGAAAGAAAUGUAAACUUUGCUUCAAAAACCAGUUCGAGUGUUUAAGAACAUUAUUUGUGCUUUUUUAGCUGCCAAAGGUGGAUCUACUGCGAUUUUUAAAGGAACUGCAAUUGCAGGCACUGGGAAGUAAAAACAAAAGAAGAUAUUUAAUUACUUCUGGGAAAGAGUGAGAGGAAAAAAAUCAAGGAAAGAUGAACUCCGGAGAUGGCUGUGGAGCGAAUCGCGAGCUGCCGUCAGCGUCGAAACGGC